rnacentral:lncRNA from 10 species
UGCAGGUCACGUGAGGAUCAGAGAGAAGCCACGCAUGUCAGGGCCCUGGCACAUCACAGGGCUCAGCAGGAGCAUCUAUCAUCAUUGGUUCAUGUCUGGCUGAGACCAGACCUUGUAAAAAUGAGAGAGAGGUGAAAGAAAGAACGCAGGGAGGGAAGAGAAGUUUGGCAGAGGAAAUUGUGGGAUGACCGACUAUUCAGGAGAGGCCAGAUUUC